GCAAUUAAUUAGAGUAGUCUCAAUAUCAGAGAUGUGCCACAGUUAACUUUUGUGAUAUUUUAUUUGGACUGAACAGAUUACAGAAGAACUGAGCUUUGUCCAUAAGUUGGAUGUUGUGUCUCUUUACUACAAACUUACUCAUAACAUAGAAGCACUGAAGACUUUGCAAAUCAAAGACAGGAUUGAGUUGCAGGCUGUCUUGAACCUUAAAGUGAUCAAGAGCUUUAGUAUGAAAGUGCAUUAUGGUGCUCACCUAACAGUUCUUGAAGGACAAAUCCAGGACUUUGAGACAAGUACCAACAUAACUGGGAAUUUCCAUCAUACUUGGCCAUGGCUGCUACAAGCCAGGGUCCCAUCAUCUCUACAGAUAGAUGUGGUUUUUCAAGGGAGAAACGCUACUCAAGAGAGAUAUGUGCACAUUGCAGCUGGAGAAACAUCAAUCACAUACAUAAUAAACUCCUAUUAUGUUGCUCAGCAAGUGGAUAUCUUUUGCCAAAGUGUACAUAAUAGUGAGGCACUUCAGGCAGCUGGCUACCCUAAGGCAAUCAGCUUGAUUCUCAGUUUACAGAAAUCGGAAAGCAAAGCCAAGAGUAUCUGUGAAGUCCAGUAUGAUGACAAAGAUUUAACUGUGACUAUGGAUGUUGACACAGACUUUCAGCUCUAUGGUAUAUUUGAAUUCAUGGCAGAGGUGAAGCAUUCGAUAUCACUUCUACAUCAUCUGGGACUUCCCUUCUUUUUUAAGAUGACAAUUCAAGAGGUUCUGACUGAAAAUGAAAUUGAAGGAGCUCUGAGGCUGGUCUAUGAACAAAACACCAACUUCUCCUUCAGCAUCAGUAGGAAAAAAGACCAGCAAGGUGAAGAGCUGAAUAUAAAAGCGCUCCAGACUCAUCCCUUCUUUCUAUGGUACUUCCCCAGUGCAGCAGAACUGUCUUCUAAGGUAAAUUACGACAUGAGUGAAGCAAAAGGCAAUCUCUACCUCAGGAUGGAAAAAGGGGAUUUCAAUGUUACGACUAAGCUAACGUUCACUGGAACCAGCUACAAUAAUGUCAUUGAAAUAGUCCAGACAAUGUCCCAGUUAAAAAUUCUUCCAAGGCAGUUUACGUUUAUGAUAAUUUACCAAAAAGGCAACAGAACACGUCUGCUGAGGCACAUUGCUCUGUGGGAUGGCAAAGAGAUCAAGGUAACAGGCACUUACACUGGACUCUUCCCAAAGUUGCCCGGAGGACAUGAUGUUCAGGAUAUCAGUGUCAUCUUCUCUGAAGUUUGGAAGAGACCGUACGAACUACAGAGCUGCCAUUGCCCACCCAUUUAA
rnacentral:lncRNA from 1 species